AUUUCCAUAACAAUAUUUUCCCAAAAUAUAUUAUCAAAUAUUAUAUUAAAAACAUCUACUUCUUUUUUGUUUUCACCUAACUUACUCAAAGUUGCCACUUUUAUACCACAAAUCUCUGUAUAGUUUCAAAUUUUUGGUACAUUAGUUUCUUCUUUCCAAAUCCAUAGCUCUAGUUGUUGAUGAUUACUGUGAUCUUCGUCGUCGGUAUCAUCUUCGAUAACCAGUCGCUUACAACGUUCUCGUACAGAAAGUGAAAUAUCACUACUGUCACUAUCACUAUUUAAAAUAUCUAUUAAAUCACUUUUUGCGAUGUUAGCAGAACUUUCAAUGUCCUCAACAACGCUUAACAUUCUUUUUGAAGUUAUUUUUAGGGGUACCUUUCUAAUAUUUUUCAAGAAAAUAUACUGCACCUCCGAAUGCGGACAAGAAAAAAAAGCAUUUGUCGCAUGUAUCCCAACAAAUAUACAAAGUUUCACGUACAAAGUGCACGUGUUGUUUAUGUUUGGCCCGAAGGAUAUACCACGUCUCUAACACGACGUUGUAGGUUAAAAGCUUAAUGAUACAAUAAGGUUAAUUGAAAAUACUUAUAAACUGUAAACAACAAUGUGAUAUUGUAAAUAGUUAUAAUGUGGAAUAUACUUACGAAGACAAACUCAAGGAAAACAACUCAACAGCUUUCACUAAGCUAUGUUUUGUUACAAGUUGAGAUAUUUUGCAAAUUUUUAACCACAAUUUCUAUGGAUUAAAUUAAUGGAAGUCAUAUUCACAAGACACAAGUAUUCCAAGAUCUGGUUAAUGACUAAAUGUACAAAUGAAGGUGCAACAUCCCAUUGGAAGAUAAAGUACAUUAUUGGCAAACAGAUACAGGUACACAAUUUUCAAAGUUUUCAAAGAAGGCACAACAGCUAACUGGUUAAUCAGCAAUUGUAUACUCCAAUAAAUGUACUGUGGCACGCAAUAUGAUUUUUCUCAAAUAUUAAGUUUUCUGAAUGUGAGGUUGGCGGUAGCCAAAACUUUCAUCAUUGAACUCCUCUACUUACAAGUUUUCUAACAAUAUAUCAUGCACUCUAUGGACAUUAAAGUACUGAAUACUACAGUAUUUCAAAUUUAUUUACUAUGCAGAAAAAACAAUAUUACAUUUAUGUUUCCUUUAUAAAUGUUAUAUUUAUGAUUGUAUAUAUAAAAUGCUAUUUAUCAUAAGAAUAAGGUAAGAAGAGAAGAAACAUUUAUGUCAAAAUAGAAUAAAAACUAGAAUAGAAUAAAAGAUAGAAUAAAAAAAUAUUGAAAAACAGACAUUAUAUGUAUACAGAAGAAUUGAAUCCUGAAUCUUAGCAUAGGACUUUAACGGAUUACCAUCAUACUAUCGCAUUGUUUGUUAAAUACCACAGUUGAAUCACAUUUUAGCGUAGUAGUAAAAUUUCAAUCACUAAUGUUUCAAAAAAUAUUGGAUCUUUGCCCUUAUAAUGGAAUACUUUUGCAGAGUGAGGAUCUUCCCAUAUGCAGAAUUUUAACUAAAUCAGUAAUACAAAUGUCUUGCAGUUCCCUUGUUAUUUGUUAAUUAUGAAUUUACAUAUAUAUGAAUCGAUAUAAUUAUUUUUUUCUUUUCAUUGUGUUAAAUAGUUACAUUAACUAAGUCAUACUAGAGUAACUUAACACAUUAGCACCAUGACUCACAUAUAUGUCAUUUGGAUUCCUCUGCUAGAACCUGAAUGAUAUAUAUAGAUGAGUUUCUAAAUGCUCUGGUGCCAAUGUGUUAAAGGAUUAUAAGUUCUUUAAAAUACAAUUGGGGAGAGAGACAUUAUAAUUCUCACAAUCAUAAAUCAUAAAACAUUAAAUAAUUUCAGUUCACUAAUACAUAUAAAUUCCUAAAAGUAUAAUACAUUGAUUAAUAAAUAGACAAUCCUGAUAUUGUCUUGGCAAUAUAAUAACAAAUAUGAUAUAUUCAUUGCUACUUCUUUAACUGUUAUUUUAUAUAUGAUUUUGCACUAUAAAAUUAAUUUAUAUAAUUUUAUUCUUAUAAAAAU